GAUGAACGCUGGCGGCGUGCCUAAUACAUGCAAGUCGAGCGAACAGACGAGAAGCUUGCUUCUCUGAUGUUAGCGGCGGACGGGUGAGUAACACGUGGAUAACCUACCUAUAAGACUGGGAUAACUUCGGGAAACCGGAGCUAAUACCGGAUAAUAUUUUGAACCGCAUGGUUCAAAAGUGAAAGACGGUCUUGCUGUCACUUAUAGAUGGAUCCGCGCUGCAUUAGCUAGUUGGUAAGGUAACGGCUUACCAAGGCAACGAUGCAUAGCCGAACUGAGAGGCUGAUCGCCCCCACUGGAACUGGGACAGCGUCCAGACUCCUACGGGAGGCAGCAGUAGGGAACCUUCCGCAAUGGGCGAAAGCAUGACGGAGCAACGCCGCGUGAGUGAUGACGGUCUUCGGAUCGUAAAACUCUGUUAUUAGGGAAGAACAUAUGUGUAAGUAAAUGUGCACAUCUUGACGGUACCUAAACAGAAAGCCCCGGCUAACUACGUG
rnacentral:rRNA from 1 species